rnacentral:rRNA from 1 species
UUGACUCACGCGGGAAAUCUUACCGGGUCCGGACACACUGAGGAUUGACAGACAAAUAUAGAAAUUUUAUAUUUCUCAUAUAUAAAGAUGCUAGUUCUUUCAUGAUUAUGUGAUAGGUGGUGCAUGGCCGUUCUUAGUUCGUGGAGUGAUCUGUCUGCUUAAUUGCGUUUCAAUUUUUAUUAUGUAUACGUAUGACCCACGUUUACGCGUGCGAGUCUAGUAUGCUAUCAUUUGAAAGCAACGAACGUGACCGUAUCCUUUUAUUAUAUACGCACGCGUAUAUUUAUUCAUUAAAGGGACCGCUGUUUCUUUUUUUAAACCAGAGGAAGGUUACGGCAAUAACA